rnacentral:tRNA from 1 species
GAGCCGAAUGAAAUGAAAUGAAAUUUUGUGUUCGAUUCUCAAUUAGAAGCAUUCGAAAUGUGUCAUAACCUUUAACCCUCCAAGCUAAUUAUGCGGGUUCCAUUUUCAUGAAAUGCUACC